rnacentral:rRNA from 1 species
GAUGAACGCUGGCGGCGUGCCUAAUACAUGCAAGUCGAGCGAACGGACGAGAAGCUUGCUUUUCUGAUGUUAGCGGCGGACGGGUGAGUAACACGUGGAUAACCUACCUAUAAGACUGGGAUAACUUCGGGAAACCGGAGCUAAUACCGGAUAAUAUUUUGAACCGCAUGGUUCAAAAGUGAAAGACGGUCUUGCUGUCACUUAUAGAUGGAUCCGCGCUGCAUUAGCUAGUUGGUAAGGUAACGGCUUACCAAGGCAACGAUGCAUAGCCGACCUGAGAGGGUGAUCGGCCACACUGGAACUGAGACACAGUCCAGACUCCUACGGGAGGCAGCAGUAGGGAAUCUUCCGCAAUGGGCGAAAGCCUGACGGAGCAACGCCGCGUGAGUGAUGAAGGUCUUCGGAUCGUAAAACUCUGUUAUUAGGGAAGAACAUAUGUGUAAGUAACUGUGCACAUCUUGACGGUACCUAAUCAGAAAGCCACGGCUAACUACGUG